rnacentral:rRNA from 1 species
AGCUCCAAUAGCGUAUAUUAAAGUUGCUGCAGUUAAAAAGCUCGUAGUUGGAUUUCUGGCUUGGUGCGCCUGACCCGCUACGGUUACGUAUGUGAGUGUCGGGUCGCGCCUGCCAUCCUUCUAGAGAACAGUUCUACCCUUCAUUGGGCCGGGACUGUCGCUCUAGAUCUUUUACUUUGAAAAAAUUAGAGUGUUUAAAGCAGGCGUUUGCUAUGAAUACAUUAGCAUGGAAUAAUCAUCUAGGACUUCGGUCCUAUUUUGUUGGUUUCGCGGGCUGAAGUCAUGAUUGAUAGGGAUAGUUGGGGGUGCUAGUAUUCAGUGGCCAGAGGUGAAAUUCUCGGAUUCACUGAAGACUUACUUAUGCGAAAGCAUUCACCAAGGAUGUCUCCU